GGUCCGUUGGUGUAAUGGGUAGCACACUCCCUUAAUUUCUUCCGCGACUCUUUUCUAACAGCGGAGGAGAAGGUACCGGUUCAACUCAGGUGCGGGCCA